rnacentral:rRNA from 1 species
GACGAACGCUGGCGGCGUGCUUAACACAUGCAAGUCGAGCGGAGCGGCGAACGGGUGAGUAACGCGUGAGUAACUGCCCCCCUCUCUGGGAUAACAGUUGGAAACGGCUGCUAAUACCGGAUAGUGGGGGAUGGGUCGCGUCCUAUCAGCUUGUUGGUGGGGUAGUGGCCUACCAAGGCGACGACGGGUAGCCGGCCUGAGAGGGCGACCGGCCACAAGGGGCUGAGAUACGGCCCAAACGCCUACGGGAGGCAGCGGUGGGGAAUAUGACACAAGGGGGGAAACUGUGAUGCAGCAGCGCCGCGUGCGGGAUGACGGCCUGCGGGGUGUAAACCGCGUUGAGCCAUGACGCGGUAGUGGCAGAAGAAGCACCGGCUAACUACGUGCCAGCAGCCGCGGUAAUUC